UUGAACGCUGGCGGCAUGCUUUACACAUGCAAGUCGAACGGCAGCGCGGGCUUCGGCCUGGCGGCGAGUGGCGAACGGGUGAGUAAUGCAUCGGAACGUGCCCAGUAGUGGGGGAUAGCCCGGCGAAAGCCGGAUUAAUACCGCAUACGACCUGAGGGUGAAAGCGGGGGACCGAAAGGCCUCGCGCUAUUGGAGCGGCCGAUGUCGGAUUAGCUAGUUGGUGGGGUAAAGGCUUACCAAGGCGACGAUCCGUAGCUGGUCUGGGAGGACGACCAGCCACACUGGGACUGAGACACGGCCCAGACUCCUACGGGAGGCAGCAGUGGGGAAUUUUGGACAAUGGGGGCAACCCUGAUCCAGCCAUGCCGCGUGCGGGAAGAAGGCCUUCGGGUUGUAAACCGCUUUUGUUCGGGAAGAAAUCCUCUGGGCUAAUACCCCGGGGGGAUGACGGUACCGGAAGAAUAAGCACCGGCUAACUACGUG
rnacentral:rRNA from 1 species